rnacentral:rRNA from 1 species
GAGUUUGAUUAUGGCUCAGGAUGAACGCUAGCGAUAGGCUUAACACAUGCAAGUCGAGGGGCAGCAUAGAGUCAGCUUGCUGAUUUGGAUGGCGACCGGCGGAUGGGUGCGUAACGCGUAUGCAACUUACCUGUCAGAGGGGGAUAACCCGGAGAAAUUCGGACUAAUACCGCAUACACUUGAGAUACUGCAUGGUAUUUCAAGGAAAUAUUUAUAGCUGACAGAUAGGCAUGCGUUCCAUUAGCUGGUAGGUGAGGUAACGGCUCACCUAGGCAACGAUGGAUAGGGGAACUGAGAGGUUAAACCCCCACACUGGUACUGAGACACGGACCAGACUCCUACGGGAGGCAGCAGUGAGGAAUAUUGGUCAAUGGGCGAGAGCCUGAACCAGCCAAUUCGCGUGAAGGAUGACUGCCCUAUGGGUUGUAAACUUCUUUAGUAGGGGAUUAAAGUUUGCCUUGCGAGGCAA